rnacentral:rRNA from 1 species
AUUGAACGCUGGCGGCAUGCCUUACACAUGCAAGUCGAACGGUAACAGGUCUUCGGAUGCUGACGAGUGGCGAACGGGUGAGUAAUGCAUCGGAACGUGCCCAGUAGUGGGGGAUAGCCCGGCGAAAGCCGGGUUAAUACCGCAUACGACCUGAGGGUGAAAGGGGGGGAUCGCAAGACCUCUCGCUAUUGGAGCGGCCGAUGUCAGAUUAGCUAGUUGGUGGGGUAAAGGCCUACCAAGGCAACGAUCUGUAGUUGGUCUGAGAGGACGACCAGCCACACUGGGACUGGGACACGGCCCAGACUCCUACGGGAGGCAGCAGUGGGGAAUUUUGGACAAUGGGCGCAAGCCUGAUCCAGCAAUGCCGCGUGCAGGAAGAAGGCCUUCGGGUUGUAAACUGCUUUUGUCAGGGAAGAAAUCUUCUGGGUUAAUACCUCGGGAGGAUGACGGUACCUGAAGAAUAAGCACCGGCUAACUACGUGCCAGCCGCCGCCGUAACAC